GCUCCGUGGUGUAAUACCAUGUUGGAUUGCAAAUCCAAAGAUGCAGGCUAAUUGCCCGCCGGGGCUU
rnacentral:tRNA from 1 species